rnacentral:rRNA from 1 species
AUUGAACGCUGGCGGCAGGCCUAACACAUGCAAGUCGAGCGGAUGACGGGAGCUUGCUCCUUGAUUCAGCGGCGGACGGGUGAGUAAUGCCUAGGAAUCUGCCUGGUAGUGGGGGACAACGUUUCGAAAGGAACGCUAAUACCGCCUACGUCCUACGGGAGAAAGCAGGGGACCUUCGGGCCUUGCGCUAUCAGAUGAGCCUAGGUCGGAUUAGCUAGUAGGUGAGGUAAUGGCUAACCUAGGCGACGAUCCGUAACUGGUCUGAGAGGAUGAUCAGUCACACUGGAACUGAGACACGGUCCAGACUCCUACGGGAGGCAGCAGUGGGGAAUAUUGGACAAUGGGCGAAAGCCUGAUCCAGCCAUGCCGCGUGUGUGAAGAAGGUCUUCGGAUUGUAAAGCACUUUAAGUUGGGAGGAAGGGCAGUAAGCUAAUACCUUGCUGUUUUGACGUUACCGACAGAAUAAGCACCGGCUAACUCUGUGCCAGCAGCCGCGGUAAAAC